rnacentral:rRNA from 1 species
CCUACGGGAGGCAGCAGUGGGGAAUAUUGCGCAAUGGGCGAAAGCCUGACGCAGCGACGCAGCGUGAGGGACGAAGGCCUUCGGGUUGUAAACCUCUUUCAGCGGGGACGAAGCGAAAGUGACGGUACCCGCAGAAGAAGCACCGGCUAACUACGUGCCAGCAGCCGCGGUAAUACGUAGGGUGCAAGCAUUGUCCGGAUUUAUUGGGCGUAAAGAGCUCGUAGGCGGCUUGUCACGUCGGAUGUGAAAACUCGGGGCUCAACCCCGAGCCUGCAUUCGAUACGGGCUAGCUAGAGUGUUGCAGGGGAGACUGGAAUUCCUGGUGUAGCGGUGAAAUGCGCAGAUAUCAGGAGGAACACCGGUGGCGAAGGCGGGUCUCUGGGCAACUACUGACGCUGAGGAGCGAAAGCGUGGGGAGCGAACAGGAUUAGAUACCCUGGUAGUCCACGCCGUAAACGGUGGGCGCUAGGUGUGGGGAACCUUCCUACGUCUCUGUGUCGUACGUCUACGCAUAAGUCGCCCGCCCGUCGGGGUAGGUACGGCCGGCGACGGACGUAAACCGUAACGAAACGGAAGUUAGACGGCGUGAGACGUCGCCGACGGACCGACCGACGAGGGAGGUAGG